rnacentral:rRNA from 1 species
AAGGUGGGGAUGACGUCAAAUCAUCAUGCCCCUUAUGCUUAGGGCUACACACGUGCUACAAUGGGUAGUACAGAGGGUUGCCAAGCCGUAAGGCGGAGCUAAUCCCUUAAAGCUACUCUCAGUUCGGAUUGUAGGCUGAAACUCGCCUACAUGAAGCUGGAGUUACUAGUAAUCGCAGAUCAGAAUGCUGCGGUGAAUGCGUUCCCGGGUCUUGUACACCCCGCCCGUCACACCACGGGAGUUGGAGACGCCCGAAGCCGAUUAUCUAACCUUUUGGAAGAAGUCGUCGAAGGUGGAAUCAAUAACUGGGGUGAAGUCG